rnacentral:rRNA from 1 species
AGAGUUUGAUCCUGGCUCAGAUUGAACGCUGGCGGCAUGCUUUACACAUGCAAGUCGAACGGCAGCGCGGGGCAACCUGGCGGCGAGUGGCGAACGGGUGAGUAAUAUAUCGGAACGUACCCAGAAGUGGGGGAUAACGUAGCGAAAGUUACGCUAAUACCGCAUACGAUCUACGGAUGAAAGUGGGGGACCUUCGGGCCUCAUGCUUUUGGAGCGGCCGAUAUCUGAUUAGCUAGUUGGUAGGGUAAAGGCCUACCAAGGCAACGAUCAGUAGCUGGUCUGAGAGGACGACCAGCCACACUGGGACUGAGACACGGCCCAGACUCCUACGGGAGGCAGCAGUGGGGAAUUUUGGACAAUGGGCGCAAGCCUGAUCCAGCAAUGCCGCGUGAGUGAAGAAGGCCUUCGGGUUGUAAAGCUCUUUUGUCAGGGAAGAAACGGCUGAGGCUAAUACCUUUGGCUAAUGACGGUACCUGAAGAAUAAGCACCGGCUAACUACGUGCCAGCAGCCGCGGUAAUACGUAGGGUGCAAGCGUUAAUCGGAAUUACUGGGCGUAAAGCGUGCGCAGGCGGUUUUGUAAGUCUGACGUGAAAUCCCCGGGCUCAACCUGGGAAUUGCGUUGGAGACUGCAAGGCUGGAGUCUGGCAGAGGGGGGUAGAAUUCCACGUAGCAGUGAAAUGCGUAGAGAUGUGGAGGAACACCGAUGGCGAAGGCAGCCCCCUGGGUCAAGACUGACGCUCAUGCACGAAAGCGUGGGGAGCAAACAGGAUUAGAUACCCUAGUAGUCC